rnacentral:rRNA from 1 species
AGAGUUUGAUCCUGGCUCAGGAUGAACGCUAGCUACAGGCUUAACACAUGCAAGUCGAGGGGCAGCAUGACCUAGCAAUAGGUUGAUGGCGACCGGCGCACGGGUGAGUAACACGUAUCCAACCUACCGGUUAUUCCGGGAUAGCCUUUCGAAAGAAAGAUUAAUACCGGAUAGUAUAACGAGAAGGCAUCUUUUUGUUAUUAAAGAAUUUCGAUAACCGAUGGGGAUGCGUUCCAUUAGUUUGUUGGCGGGGUAACGGCCCACCAAGACAUCGAUGGAUAGGGGUUCUGAGAGGAAGGUCCCCCACAUUGGAACUGAGACACGGUCCAAACUCCUACGGGAGGCAGCAGUGAGGAAUAUUGGUCAAUGGACGAGAGUCUGAACCAGCCAAGUAGCGUGAAGGAUGACUGCCCUAUGGGUUGUAAACUUCUUUUAUAUGGGAAUAAAAUGUUCCACGUGUGGGAUUUUGUAUGUACCAUAUGAAUAAGGAUCGGCUAACUCCGUGCCAGCAGCCGCGGUAAUACGGAGGAUCCGAGCGUUAUCCGGAUUUAUUGGGUUUAAAGGGAGCGUAGGUGGAUUGUUAAGUCAGUUGUGAAAGUUUGCGGCUCAACCGUAAAAUUGCAGUUGAAACUGGCAGUCUUGAGUACAGUAGAGGUGGGCGGAAUUCGUGGUGUAGCGGUGAAAUGCUUAGAUAUCACGAAGAACUCCGAUUGCGAAGGCAGCUCACUAGACUGGUCACUGACACUGAGGCUCGAAAGUGUGGGUAUCAAACAGGAUUAGAUACCCUGGUAGUCCACACAGUAAACGAUGAAUACUCGCUGUUUGCGAUAUACGGCAAGCGGCCAAGCGAAAGCAUUAAGUAUUCCACCUGGGGAGUACGCCGGCAACGGUGAAACUCAAAGGAAUUGACGGGGGCCCGCACAAGCGGAGGAACAUGUGGUUUAAUUCGAUGAUACGCGAGGA